GACAGAGGGUGCAAACGUUGUUCGGAAUUACUGGGCGUAAAGCGCGUGUAGGCUGCUUCGAAAGUCGGAUGUGAAAGCCCUAAACUCAACCUAGGAAGUGCAUUCGAAACUUCGAAGCUGGAGUCCUGGAGAGGAAGGCGGAAUUCUCGGUGUAGAGGUGAAAUUCGUAGAUAUCGAGAGGAACACCGGUGGCGAAGGCGGCCUUCUGGACAGUGACUGACGCUGAGACGCGAAAGCGUGGGGAGCAAACAGG
rnacentral:rRNA from 1 species